rnacentral:rRNA from 1 species
UACGUAGGGUGCGAGCGUUGUCCGGAAUUAUUGGGCGUAAAGGGCUCGUAGGCGGUUUGUCGCGUCGGGAGUGAAAACUCAGGGCUUAACCCUGAGCCUGCUUCCGAUACGGGCAGACUAGAGGUAUGCAGGGGAGAACGGAAUUCCUGGUGUAGCGGUGAAAUGCGCAGAUAUCAGGAGGAACACCGGUGGCGAAGGCGGCUCUCUGGGCAUUACCUGACGCUGAGGAGCGAAAGUGUGGGGAGCGAACAGG